AAGUCGUAACAAGGUUUCCGUAGGUGAACCUGCGGAAGGAUCAUUACCUUUCAAUGCAGCAGAAUGGGGAUGGUUGAGUAUCUCGCCUCUCAGUUCUGCCUGUAUUCUACCCUUGUUUGUUCUAUACUAUUAUUUCCUCGGCAGGCUUGCCUGCCGAGUGAAACCAAUUAUAACCUUUUUCAUUUUCAAUCAGCGUCUGAAAACAAUUAAUAAUUACAACUUUCAACAACGGAUCUCUUGGUUCUG
rnacentral:misc_RNA from 1 species